UCACUAAAAAAGGUGAAUCAGCCUGCUAUCAGUUACUGAAGAUUAUUUACCAAACGAGGAAAAGAACCUUGGAGAGGCCCGAUCCUGUAUUCAAGAACAGUCAUGAAGCUUCAACUGAGGCUAAAAAGUUUGACCUGAACCACUGGAUCAGCUGCUUUUCUUUCACAGAAGAUGUAGAAAUGGAUGCAAAUUACAUGCAAGGGCCAAGGCCGUGCCACAGAUAUCAAUCAAAGUUGAAAUCAAAAG